rnacentral:rRNA from 1 species
AUACGGAGGAUCCGAGCGUUAUCCGGAUUUAUUGGGCGUAAAGAGUGAGCAGGCGGUUAAUUAAGUCUGAGGUUAAAGCGUGGGGCUCAACCCCAUAAAGCCUUGGAAACUGAUUGACUAGAGUACGGGAGAAGUGAAGGGAACUCCAUGUGUAGCGGUGAAAUGCGUAGAUAUAUGGAAGAACACCAGUGGCGAAGGCGCUUCACUAGCCCGAAACUGACGCUCAGUCACGAAAGCGUGGGUAGCGAAUAGGAUUAGAUACCCUAGUAGUCCACGCUGUAAACGAUGACAACUAAAUAUUGCCGCGAGGCAGUGUUGAAGCUAACGCAUUAAGUUGUCCGCCUGGGGAGUACGGUCGCAAGACUGAAACUUAAAGGAAUUGACGGGG